AUUCUCCAUAGCUAAUGAAAAUAUUGCACCCAUAACAAAAAUAAAAACAAAAAUAAAAACAAAAGCGAGCAAUAUCUUCCCAAUAUACCACAAACUAAUCGGUUUUGACGACCUAUCCUUCAUAUGAUGUGAGGCAUUGGAAAUCUGCAAAUUGACAACGAACACAUGAAGAGUAUGUAAGCUAAUAAUGCUCAUAAAAUUGGCAGUGCCAAACCUUUUUUAUAUUUACGUCUUUCCAACUUUUCAAUAUCAAUCAUUCACAAGGCCGGCACUCUAUGGAAUAACAAGACUACAAAGAUUAUGAUAAAAAUGGAUUCAAUUUGGACAAUUUAUCAGUGUUUUUCCAGAAAAAGAAAAAAAAAACAGAAUGAGAACACAGCCAAACAAACCCUCAGGUAUAAUUUUCAUUCUCUCCCCCCAACCCUCAGGUAGAUUCUAUAAUAAUACCCCAUUUGGUUCCAAUGGAAUAAUUGCUCUUGGUCAAUGUUCCAAGUUUCUAACAUUCAAAAUUCCAUUCCCAUUUAAUUAUUCCAAAAUUAUUCUGUUAAUUUUAUCUCAAUAUACUUCUAAUUUAAUCGAAUCUUCUUUGCUUUUCAAAAGUUUUAGUUGGAAACUACUAAUUUGUAUUUUGAUUUUUGUUCUUGGAUUAUAAAUCAGAUUUGUAACUGCAAGGAAUAUGGCAAUUGACAAUAUCUCUUCAUUUAGCAAGAUUGAGGGAAGUUAAUAAUAAUAAGAAAACCGAAGCCUAAGAUGCAAAGAAAAAGUCUUGCCAAAUUUAUAUUUAUGCAAUUUAUAUCCUUCACUUCACUCGGAUGCAAUGUUCAAUAAUCAGUUUGAAGAAUGUCUAUCACACUUCGGUGCUGAAGGGCCAAUGAGACACAGAUUGACACAUCUGUUAAUGGAGCAUUUGGACAAAGAAGAAAAUUGAAUAAUACCAGUAGGGUUCACAUAGCAUUUAUUUAAAACGAGUCAAACCCAUUUUAGGCAGCUAUUAACAUCUUUACGAUGGGGGAACUUGGAAAUUCAUGAAAUGAUUUUGCUUCUUAGUUUCUUUACUGUGACGGUAUAAACUACAAUGCUGGUUAUUUAGGAUGGAAUUUCCUUCAAACAUUAUAGUCUUACAGAGAAUGCAUUGUUUAAUUAUUUUCAAAAAAAUUCGAGGAAUACACAAACACCCAGUGUUUAUAAUUGUAAAUCUGUGCUACAAUGAUUCUGAUUCAAGAUUUUGUCAACAUUUAAACUGAUUGGGCCAAUCUUUAUAUAUAUAUAUAUAUAAAAAUUUAAAAAA